rnacentral:rRNA from 1 species
UACGUAGGGAGCAAGCGUUGUUCGGAUUUACUGGGCGUAAAGGGCGCGUAGGCGGCAAAUUAAGUCAGCUGUGAAAUCUCCGAGCUUAACUCGGAACUGUCAGCUGAUACUGAUCUGCUAGAGUGCGGAAGGGGCAAUCGGAAUUCUUGGUGUAGCGGUGAAAUGCGUAGAUAUCAAGAGGAACACCUGCGGCGAAGGCGGGUUGCUGGGCCGACACUGACGCUGAAGCGCGAAAGCCAGGGGAGCGAACGGG